rnacentral:rRNA from 1 species
GAUGAACGCUGGCGGCGUGCUUAACACAUGCAAGUCGAACGGAAAGGCUCCUGCUUGCAGGGGUACUCGAGUGGCGAACGGGUGAGUAACACGUGGGUGAUCUGCCCUGCACUUCGGGAUAAGCCUGGGAAACUGGGUCUAAUACCGGAUAGGACCACAUUUUGGAUGGUGUGGUGGAAAGUUUUUCGGUGUGGGAUGAGCUCGCGGCCUAUCAGCUUGCUGGUGGGGUAAUGGCCUACCAAGGCGUCGACGGGUAGCCGGCCUGAGAGGGUGUACGGCCACAUUGGGACUGAGAUACGGCCCAGACUCCUACGGGAGGCAGCAGUGGGGAAUAUUGCACAAUGGGCGCAAGCCUGAUGCAGCGACGCCGCGUGGGGGAUGACGGCCUUCGGGUUGUAAACUCCUUUCGCUAGGGACGAAGCGCAAGUGACGGUACCUGGAGAAGAAGCACCGGCUAACUACGUG